rnacentral:tRNA from 1 species
CGCUGCUGGCGGCGCGAUUGGUGGCGCGGGUGCGCGGCGUGCUGGGACGGGUGCUGGUCAUCCGGUCGGUGUUCGAGGCGCCGCGGCUGCGG